AGAGUUUGAUCAUGGCUCAGAAUCAACGCUGGCGGCGUGCCUAACACAUGCAAGUCGAACGCGAAAGGGGCUUCGGCCCUGAGUAGAGUGGCGAACGGGUGAGUAACACGUGGGUGAUCUACCUCUGAGUGGGGGAUAACGUUCCGAAAGGAGCGCUAAUACCGCAUGACGUGCCGGGUUUGAAGACCUGGCCACCAAAGUCGGGGACCGCAAGGCCUGACGCUUGGAGAGGAGCCCGCGCCUGAUUAGCUAGUUGGUGGGGUAAUGGCCUACCAAGGCGACGAUCAGUAGCCGGCCUGAGAGGGCGGACGGCCACACUGGGACUGAGACACGGUCCCGACUCCUACGGGGGGCAGCAGUGAGGAAUAUUGCACAAUGGACGCAAGUCUGAUGCAGCAACGCCGCGUGGAGGAUGAAGGUUUUCGGAUCGUAAACUCCUUUUCUUGGGGAAGAGCAGGGACGGUACCCGAGGAAUAAGUCACGGCUAACUACGUGCCAGCAGCCGCGGUAAUACGUAGGUGGCGAGCGUUAUCCGGAAUUACUGGGCGUAAAGCGCACGCAGGUGGUUCUUUAAGUUUGACGUGAAAGCUCCUGGCUUAACUGGGAGAGGUCGUUGAAUACUGGGGAACUUGAGGCAAUGAGAGGGAUGUAGAAUUCACGGUGUAGUGGUGGAAUGCGUAGAUAUCGUGAGGAAUACCAGUGGCGAAAGCGGCAUCCUGGCAUUAGCCUGACGCUCAUGUGCGAAAGCGUGGGGAGCGAACGGGAUUAGAUACCCCCGUAGUCC
rnacentral:rRNA from 1 species